rnacentral:rRNA from 1 species
CCAAUAGCGUAUAUUAAAGUUGUUGCAGUUAAAAAGCUCGUAGUUGAACUUCGGGGUUUACCCAUUGGUCAGGCUUAAUUGUCUGCACUGGUGAGAUGAAUCUCUACCUUCUGAGGAACUUUCAUGCCAUUUAUUUGGUGUGAUGGGAAAUCAGGACUGUUACUUUGAAAAAAUUAGAGUGUUUAAAGCAGGCUAACGUCUGAAUACAUUAGCAUGGAAUAAUGAAAUAGGACGGACUGAUUCUAUUUCGUUGGUUUCUAGGAUCACCGUAAUGAGUAAUAGGGAUAGUUGGGGGCAUUAGUAUUCAAUUGUCAGAGGUGAAAUUCUUGGAUUUAUUGAAGACUAACUACUGCGAAAGCAUUUGCCAAGGAUGUUUUCAUUAAUCAAGAACGAAAGUUAGGGGAUCGAAGACGAUCAGAUACCGUCGUAGUCUUAACCAUAAACUAUGCCGACUAGGGAUCGGACGAAGUUAAUUUUAUAAUGACGCGUUCGGCACCUUACG